AUCCUUUUCCAGUUCAUACGCAUGAUGAUUGGGUUCUCACACACUUGCGUGGCACGUACCUCCCUCUGAACCUUGUUACAAAGUGGGCACGUUACCCAUCUGGUG